rnacentral:rRNA from 1 species
GGGUUGUGAGGUUAAGCGACUAAGCGUACACGGUGGAUGCCUAGGCAGUCAGAGGCGAUGAAGGACGUGCUAAUCUGCGAUAAGCGCCGGUAAGGUGAUAUGAACCGCUAUACCCGGCGAUGUCCGAAUGGGGAAACCCGGUGCACUUGUGCAUCAUCAUUAACUGAAUCCAUAGGUUAAUGAGGCGAACCAGGGGAACUGAAACAUCUAAGUACCCUGAGGAAAAGAAAUCAACCGAGAUUCCCCCAGUAGCGGCGAGCGAACGGGGAAAAGCCCAGAACCUGAAUCAUCAGCUGCAGUAGUGGAAGCGUCUGGAAAGUCGCGCGAUACAGGGUGAUAGCCCCGUACACGAAAGUGCAGUUGGUGUGAGUUCGAUGAGUAGGGCGGGACACGUGACAUCCUGUCUGAAUAUGGGGGGACCAUCCUCCAAGGCUAAAUACUCCUGACUGACCGAUAGUGAACCAGUACCGUGAGGGAAAGGCGAAAAGAACCCCGGCGAGGGGAGUGAAA